GACGGAAGGUGCAAGCGUUGCUCGGAAUCACUGGGCGUAAAGGGUGCGUAGGCGGCCGUGCAAGUCUGGCGUGAAAGCCCCGGGCUCAGCCCGGGAAGUGCGCUCGAAACUGCGCGGCUCGAGUGCCGGAGGGGAGAGUGGAAUUCCUGGUGUAGCGGUGAAAUGCGUAGAUAUCAGGAGGAACACCUAUGGCGAAGGCAGCUCGCUGGGACGUUACUGACGCUGAGACGCGAAAGCGUGGGGAGCAAACAGG
rnacentral:rRNA from 1 species